ACCCAAAUAGCUCAGUUGGGAGAGCGUUAGACUAUAGAUCGAAAGGUCCGAUCGCGGGAUUCGGCA
rnacentral:tRNA from 1 species